ACCUACAUGAUGUAAGAACUGCCG
rnacentral:siRNA from 1 species